UCAGUAACGGCGAGUGAAGCGGCAACAGCUCAAAUUUGAAAUCUGGCACCCCUCCCGGGGGGUGCCCGAGUUGUAAUUUGCAGAGGAUGCCCUUGGCGAGGCGCCUUCCGAGUUCCUGGAACGGGACGCCGCAGAGGGUGAGAGCCCCGUAGCGGUCGGUCGCCACAGCCUGUGUAGGGCUCCCUCGAAGAGUCGAGUAGUUUGGAAAUGCUGCUCAAAGCGGGAGGUAAUUCUCUUCUAAAGCUAAAUACCUGCCAGAGACCGAUAGCGCACAAGUAGCGUGAGCGAAAGAUGAAAAGCACUCUGGAGAGAGGGUCAAACAGUACGUGAAAUUGUUGAAAGGGAAGCGCUAGCGGCCAGACGUGGGCCGGCGGCUCCCCCGGCGUUCUUCGCCGGUCCGCUCCGCCCGGCCCAGGCCAGCAUCGGUUUCCGCGGGGGGAUAAGGGUGGUGGGAACGUGGCUCCCCCUUCGGGGGGGGUGUUAUAGCCCGCCCCUCGAUGCCCCCGUGGGGACCGAGGAUCGCGCCUCGUGCGAGGAUGCUGGCGUAUUGCCCGCUUACGAACCGUUUUGAAACACGGACCAAGGAGUCGUCCACUGGAGCGAGCGUUAGGGUGUAAAACCGGUACGCGUAAUGAAAGUAACAGGUGAGAGCCUCGGCGCAUCAUCGACCGAUCCUGAAGUGCUCGGAUGGAUUUGAGUAGGAGUUCCAGCGGACGGACCCGAAAGACAGUGAACUAUGCCUGUAUAGGGUGAAGCCAGAGGAAACUCUGGUGGAGGCUCGCAGCGGUUCUGACGUGCAAAUCGAUCGUCAAAUAUGGGCAUGGGGGCGAAAGACUAAUCGAACUGUCUAGUAGCUGGU
rnacentral:rRNA from 1 species